rnacentral:rRNA from 1 species
GACGAACGCUGGCGGCGUGCCUAAUACAUGCAAGUUGAGCGCUGAAGGUUGGUACUUGUACCGACUGGAUGAGCAGCGAACGGGUGAGUAACGCGUGGGGAAUCUGCCUUUGAGCGGGGGACAACAUUUGGAAACGAAUGCUAAUACCGCAUAAAAACUUUAAACACAAGUUUUAAGUUUGAAAGAUGCAAUUACAUCACUCAAAGAUGAUCCCGCGUUGUAUUAGCUAGUUGGUGAGGUAAAGGCUCACCAAGGCGAUGAUACAUAGCCGACCUGAGAGGGUGAUCGGCCACAGUGGGACUGAGACACGGCCCAAACUCCUACGGGAGGCAGCAGUAGGGAAUCUUCGGCAAUGGACGAAAGUCUGACCGAGCAACGCCGCGUGAGUGAAGAAGGGUUUCGGAUCGUAAAACUCUGUUGGUAGAGAAGAACGUUGGUGAGAGUGGAAAGCUCAUCAAGUGACGGUAACUACCCAGAAAGGGACGGCUAACUACGUG